rnacentral:rRNA from 1 species
GACGAACGCUGGCGGCGUGCUUAACACAUGCAAGUCGAGCGGUAAGGCCCUUUCGGGGUACGGCGAGCGGCGAACGGGUGAGUAACACGUGGGUGACCUGCCCUCCAGCUCUGGGAGUAAAGCCUCGGGAAACCGGGUACCUAAUACUGGAUAUGACUCCAUGACGCAUGUUGGUGGGGUGGAAAGCCUUGUGCGGCUGAGGAUGGGCCCGCGGCCUAUCAGCUUGUUGGUGGGGUGAGGCCUACCAAGGCGACGACGGGUAGCCGGCCUGAGAGGGCGACCGGCCACACUGGGACUGAGACACGGCCCAGACUCCUACGGGA